UACGGAGGGUGCAAGCGUUAAUCGGAAUUAUUGGGCGUAAAGCGCGUGUAGGCGGCUUUGCAAGUCGGGUGUGAAAGCCCUCAGCUCAACUGAGGAAGUGCGCCCGAAACUGCAGAGCUUGAGUGCCGGAGAGGGUGGCGGAAUUCCCCAAGUGAGAGGUGAAAUUCGUAGAUAUGGGGAGGAACAGCCGGUGGCGAAGGCGGCCCGAGCCUAGGACGGGCCAAC
rnacentral:rRNA from 1 species